rnacentral:lncRNA from 11 species
GGUGUAUAUAUAUGUGUGUUGAAGAAAACCUUAUGGUGUUAAUUAUUAUGAGCAGCUGCUGAUGUAGGUCAGCAAGCAAGCUUGGACCACACCCGGUAGGGUAUAACUCUAUGGAUGUUAGAAUACAGUUUGGUGAUGCUGAAUUAACAAGGACUUAACAGCAAUGCUCCUUGUUAUGAUGGAAUAGCUAUUUGUUUUAUGUUCUACUCUUUGGGAUGAAGAAGCCUUGCUCUGUGCUGCUUACAAGGACUAUAGUAUUUCCAAAGAAGGAUCAAACCCAAGCUACCAUUCUCAACAGCAGUCAGGAGGCUGAUGCUGGAGCAAACCAUGGUUGCUGUGUGUCAUUUUCACAGCUGGAGACGGAAAGCAAAGCAAAAGCUCUCUCCAUCUGUAAGCAAGAGGAAUGCUCAUUGCAAACACACAGCUUCCCUCUCUGGGGAAGGCUUGGAAGCACAGAAGUGUGCUUCAAAGAUGUCAGUAUGCAAAGGAACUGGCGGAGAUGACAGGAUCCUAUAGAGCAGGCAGCUUCUGCCAAAGCUGUGUGCAGCCACAGCUGGGUGAAUGAUACUCUCAGGCAUUCCCGAAAGGAAAGGCACAAAGUUUGACUCACUUGUCUUGAUGCAAACAAGCACCAUUUUUUAAACGUAGCCAUUAUCUCAUUGACAUUUGGAUUGCCCUACCAAUAUCAAGAUGUCCAACGUACCCAGUAGGAACACUUUUACUUUCUUACCCCACAACUCCACCCUUGGAAAUGAACCAGAAGAACACAUUUGUUCUAUUGCGCACACAGAACAUGUUUCAGUUCUUCAUCCCAGAACACUGGAACAAUGUGAGAUGUUAGGAGAUAUGUUUUGUUCCGAAUAACCUUCUCUUAGGAGGUUAUUUGGAACAAUGUUGGCUCUAGCCAAUGGGCCCAACAGAAGUUCCACUGCAUAUGCCAGCGGGCUCUUUUGGGUGCUUUCUGACUAAAAGAAAAAGUUUCUCACAUCCAGACCUCUUGAAUUUUCUCCCUUGUUGUCAGUGUUUGGACUAUGCUGUAUGCCAUGUUGUUCCCAUGUUUCUGAGUCUCUGCUGGGUUUAGUUAAAACUUCAAAGGUGCUAUCCAUGGGGCCAGACUUUAUCUCCAGAAUAGAUUCUGCAGUUUGGACAGCUCUGUUAAAGAUUGGACUAAAACCCAGAAUAGUGGCACUACCCCAUUGACGUGAGAGUUGAAGGUUAUCAGUGGCUUAAAACCUAUCUUGAAAGAAAUUAAGGUAUACCUCUUUUUAAAAGCUUAUAUUCGAGUUUAUGUUCAAGGACCCAGUCUCCGU